CAGUCUUCUCUGCAGACACCAGCCUGGUGUCCUCCUUCAUCCCAGGCUGCCAGGCUAGGCAGGGGACAGCGGCUGCCCUGGUCCUCACAGCCCUGGCUACGGGGCUGGUGACAGCCAGAUCCUCAUGCUUCUGCGACCUGAGCGCUGCCUUCAGACACCUCUCUGCUGGCGUGUUCCUGGGUCCAUGUGAGCUACCUGUUUUGCUCUAAGAUACCCUGGAUGUGACGCUCAGCUCUGUCACUGGCUUCCACAUACCCCCUACUCCUACACCUCAAAAAUCCAUGUUCCCCACGCAUUCAUCUUCAGGAUGGAAGAAGGAAAAGUAUUUUUAAAAGACAAUCUGAAGCUCAUACUGUGACUGCAACAUAAAAUGUGUUCACCUGAGGAGACUGCUUUCAUCGCCAGUGUGUCACAGAUGGUGGAAACCUCAGAAGGCCACAGUCCAGAGUAGGGGCUUAAUGCAAGCUGCUGGAACUGAAUAAAGAAGGUCUCUGAUGGUUCUGGUUUCCUGGGCACCUAGAAUAAGUGUGUCACCAUUUGUCCUGAAGCUGACUUCUCUGAGCUGGAUGGCACCCUGGACAUCAACCAGCCCUUCACCUUCACGUCACACAGGAGGGACACUGGUCCAUAGAGAGGAUGCCUGCUCUGGUCACCAGCUGGAGAGUGGCAGACCUUGGGUACCUGACCUUUGGACUCUGCCACACAGAGCACUUCCUCAGUCCCUCCUGCUGCCCCUGGCAGGGUGGAGCUGGCAGUUCCAGGCUUCUGUGGGUACCAGCGGCCUGUCAAAACGCCAGGAAAGGUCCUCAGGAAAACAAGACAGAAAGCAUAGAACUCGUUUGCUGCCCAGCACGCGGGGUGAGCAGAGUGUCAUGAUGAGGCAGUACGGAGGGAACAAGGACGGUCACAGAGACUGGAAACCCAACGGUGGGGAAAGUUGUUCCCGGGCAGCUGAUCCAGGACCGUCCACUUCCAAGCCAGCAGGAGGAUGGAAAAGCAGAAUGGAGGGGAAACAACCUCCUUUGCAGGGCGUGACUCGGAAGUUGGACACAUCAUUUCCAGCCACAUUCCAUGGACCAGAAUUAGCCCUGUGACCAACUCUGGCUGCCAGAAAAUCUGGGAAAUACAGUCUCUGCUUGGGCGAUCAGGCAGGCAGUUAUAUCUUUGGGAACAUCUCUCACCCCCUGGGAACACCUGAGCAGAAACUGAAGGACAUUUAACAGAUUCUCCUUUGUGUCUAAUAAGAAUUGCCCCCAUCAGUCGGGGCUGUCCUAGGUGCUGGGUACAUAGGUCAUCUAUACACAACCCAGCAAUGGAGAGCACACCAUUCCCAGGCUGCAGAUGCAGAAACUGUGGCUCGGAGAGUUAAGCGUCUUGUUCAGAUUCAGUCAGCUGGUAGAUGGCAGGUCUGGGAUUGAGACCCAGGCCUGGCUGGUCCUGCCAGGACACAGUAUCACAGCUUUGACUGGGAGCUUCUUUUUGUUUACAUAUAUUUUUUAUGCUCAAUGUGCAUUCCUUUUGAAAUACACAGAAAAGGGAAAGAAGCCGGAGUCCUGCCUUGUGUAGGAGGGAUAAGUUAGAGGUGUGCACCGGGAUAAAUCUGCCUCCCGCGCUGGCCCUGGCCCUGGCCCUGGCCCUGGCCCUGGCCCUGAUCCUGCUCCUGAUUCUGGUCCUUGGGGCCUGGGCGGCGAUUCCCGGCGCUGGCUGAGCGUCACCGGCCACCAGAGGGCGCUGCCGGGCUACCGGUCCGGUCGCCCGGGGAUCACAGCCUCAGCGGACAGGAAAUGAUCAACAGCUUCUCCUCUCGGAUCCACGUGGACUCAAGGAAUCUCCGGGGGGCAGGACAGGUGCAGAGCCGAGUGCAAAGGUGGAAUUCUAUUCCCAAAGCACAUCCCGCGCCCCUUUCCUCUGCAAAGUCCCGGAACCGCGUGACUCCGGAUGAGUUAUCGGGGCUGGAACCGAGGGUUCAGCCCCCUGCGCCUCUGUGUGUCCCGGUCCCUUUCCUCCAAGUAGACAGGAGGCAUCUCCUCAUCGGCUCAGUUCACAUUCCUCCAGGGGCUCAAAGGGGACCCAGUCCCUGUCUUGGGACACCAAGUCAGGCAGACUCCAGGAGAGAGGAAGGAAGAUGAUUCCCGCGCUCAGGUGGGCGGGUCCUGCUCCCUCUGUUGAAGACCUGAAGACAAAGAUUGACCCUCACCCUUCACCUCCCACCUCUUCCUCACCUUGGAAAAGAAAAACAUUCCUGAGAGGGGGGAUUUGUCAGCAGAAGGCUUUGGGACUAGAACUGCAGCAUCAGCUCUUCCUGGUUCCCCAGCGCCCAGGCCUACCCUGCAGAUGUGGGCUUACUGGCCUCCACGAUCAGUGAGCCGGUUCCUUAAAAUCAACCUCUCUCUCUUCCUCUGUCUCUCCCUCUCUCUCUCUCCCUGUCCACAUCCCAUUGGUUCUGUUUCUCUGGGGAAACCUGACUAAUAAGGGGACUCUCAAGGCCCUGGCUGAGGAUGGCAGGCCUGAAGAUUCUCUGAGGCAUUCAGCAUUGAAUGAGCACCAGCUGGGCGUGGAGCUGUGUCAGGCGCUGGGCACAGGACUCAGCCCCGGAACCAAGUGUGGGCCCACAUGGUGUGGGCCUUUGUCUGUCCCUGUCAUGGCUUUGGACACACGCGUGGCCCAGAGGGGACAACGGAUCUGGGUGGCGAGGUGGGAAAGCUCACCCCAGUAUUCCUCUUGGUGGCAGCAGUCCCUUAAGGGGUCGCCUGAGUCGUGAGACCCACAGGUGUGGACCUCCCCCCCCCCUUCCUCCCCUCUCCCCCAGUGACUUUAUCCAGCACCUGCCCUGCCCAGCCUUGCACAGGUUACCCUGUGACCCACUCACAGGGAGAUAGGGCAGCUUCUUUCUGCCCUCAGGAGCCUUGUUCUCAAGGCAGCUCAUCCAAGAGAAUAACAUACAGUAGAUUGCCACACACAUGACUGUGGCUUAGUCCAGGAAAGCCACUUAUAAAAUCCGGAGGUGAAGGAAGAAAAGAUUGAAAUCUCUGUAACAAAUCCAUUUCCCUCCUCCCUCCCUCCCUUCAUCUCCAAAGUAGACCUGCCCCAGGGCCAGGGAUCCUCUCCCUGCAAGGCUAGGUAACAAGCGGAUUUUUGCUUUUGAGCUUCAAGGUCCUGGCUUCUGGUGGUUUAUAGGUGAUCUUUGAGGGUGGUUUUGACGAGAGGCUUGUUAGCUUCUCUACGCUUUUGAAACGCCCACUCUCCCCACAAGAAUCUGGGACUUUGCAGAACCGGUCCAAGGUGAGAGUAGGAUUAAUUGCCAAAUGAGUUUUCUCAUAAGCCUGGGGUCCAAAGUACAUUGGACAGCCAGCAAAUGCUUAUGAGGGGUUUGAACAAGUGAAAUCAAGGCUCAAGGUCAUAGGACUCAAUGGAGAGUGAGGCAGCUGGGAUCUGGGAUGACCGGCAUGGGCCUCAAAGCAGGGGGCUUGGAAAUAGGCCCUGAAGAGGGGGUCGCUUGCGUGGCUAGGAAGGGGUUGGGGCCCACUAGCAUUUCUCAGAAUGCCUAUUUUCUUCGGCAGUGAGAGCUGGAGGGAGGGAUGGGUUUCUCAGCACAGUUCCAGUAUGAGUGGCUGUCACCACAGGGCGCCAUUGCCAAGUCAGAAAGAAACAAAGCUUAACCGCUGCCUCCUGUCCCCCAUGGUCUGUGAAAGUCUCAUACUGUAGUGCGUCUAAUGGUGGCCCCCCAAAAGAUACAUCUACAUUAUAAUUCCUGGGACCCAGAAAUGUGACCUUAUUUGGAAAAAGGGUCUUUGACCUUAUUUGGAAAAAGCGUCUUUACAAAUGUAAGUGACCUUAUUUGGAAAAAGUGUCUUUACAAAUGUAAUUUACAACAUUGAAUGAGC
rnacentral:lncRNA from 1 species